GGGCGUGUAGCUCAUUUGGUAGAGCGCUCGCUUCGCACACUUUGGUGAGAAUUGCGAGAGGUACCGGGUUCGAUUCCCUGCUCGUCCA